AUUGAACGCUGGCGGCAGGCCUAACACAUGCAAGUCGAGCGAGCGGCGGACGGGUGAGUAAUGUAUGGGGACUGCCCGAUAGAGGGGGAUAACUACUGGAAACGGUGGCUAAUACCGCAUACUAUCGGAUAACCCAUAUGGGAUUAGCUAGGAGGGGGGGUAAAGGCUCACCUAGGAGACGAUCUCUAGCUGGUCUGAUAGGUGGAUCAGACACACUGGGAUGGAGACACGGCCCAGACUCCUACGGAGGGUGAGGUGGGGAAUAUUGCACAAUGGGCGCAAGCCUGAUGCAGCCAUGCCUCGUGUAUGAAGAAGGCCUUAGGGUUGUAAAGUCCUUUCAGCGGGGAGGCGUUACCCGCAGAAUAAGCACCGGCGAACGCCGUGCCAGCAGCCGCGGUAAUUC
rnacentral:rRNA from 1 species